GCUCCGCGGCAUGUGGGAUCUUCCUGGACCAGGGCAUGAACCCGUGUGCCCUGCAUCGGUAGGCGGACUCUCAACCCCUGCGCCACCAGGGAAGCCCGCAUGGACCAUUUUUAUCUCCAUAUGUGAUUACACUCUAGUGUUUGAAGACUCAAAUAGCUAUUUCCUUCAUUUCAAUAUCAGUAUGAAAAAUCAUCUGUCACAUCUAUUAAUAGAAUGAAAAUCUGAACUCAGGCCUCUGGUAUGUUUAAAAUAAGAACAAGAAAUAAAUUCACAUACUCUCUAUGACUGUAUAAAUUGCCAUAUUUAAUCUAACCAGGGCAGGUGGCUUGUCAAAGUUCAUACAAUGUGACCCAAAUUGCCUUUAAAGGUCCAGGAGAAAGCAGAUAGGUGGUAAUCAUAGUUCUGAUUCUCUUAAACUUUUUACAGAGAACACCUCUGAAGAUGUACGGAUCUGCCAAGUAAAAGAAAUGUCCACCAUGCUUCUAGAGUGACAUCAAGGUACCUCUGACAGGUUACUGCACUUUCUGAGCCUAUGGAAGAAGUAGUGCACUAAGUUUAGGCCACUAAGUUUAGGCCAGAGCAAAAAGAUGAAGUUAUUUCUUAUUUUUAAGUUAGGUGGCAACUGUCAAGCUGCAUUCACAAGCCAGAGUAGGUUUGGAGGCAGCCAGGCAUGUGGACCCUAGAGUCUUCAGUAAUUUUUCUGGCCCAGCUUUGCCCCAGUCAUACCAUUGUAAGGCCAGCACAGCCUCCCUCCCAGCAUCUGGGGAAGUCAGUAUUUUCCCCUUUUGAGAAAAGUGCAGAAGAUUAAUUUUGGCCACAUUGGAUGCCCAUUAAAAUGCCUUGCCUCCUACCUGUUUAGUACUAGUAUGCAGGAAACAGACCCAGGAUAUGAGUAGUAAUUUAACCUGAGGUCUUAAAUAUUAGAAUACUUUGAAAAAUACUUUGGCAAAAAGCUCUAAGUUUCAAAGCGUGCUUUAAUUAAAAUCUGUGUGCUUUAAAAUGAAGAAACAUGCUACUUCCUAUCUGGAAGGAAUGUGAAAAUCAAGGAAGAGCUCCAUCAUAUUUACAGAAAGGGAGUUAUUUUAAGCACACAGUUACAAUACCAAUAUAUUUGGGGGAAAAAAACCGGUGAAAUCAAAAUGAAUUCUAAUAUCUAAGAUGAAUGGAAAUUUUUCUAAUGUUUUCUCUAGGCAAGUGUUGAUUUGCUUGUACUUUGUUAUUAAGAUAAUACCCUGCUAGAAGAUUGACUUUGUGCUGCUAGCAAUAGUGUAUGUAUUUAUAUCCUAAUUAUUCAUCAUAAGGUACAUAUUUCGAUGUGUUAAAUGAGUUCCAAAUGAGUGUUAAGUUGUGUUUUAAAAUGGGUAACUGUAAUUAUGCCUGGUCUCUUUGCUUUAAAGUGAUUUGUGUUUGAACAUAAUUCAGUGUUGUAAUGGGAUUAGAAGUAAUAAUUUUGUGGGUACUUGUAAUGAAAGGGCCUUGUCUAUACUAUAUGUGUCUAUUAUUUUCUAUAUUAGCAUGAAUUACACUUUUUAGGGUCAUUUUGGGAGACCAGUGAUUUAAUUUCAUUAACAUAUUAAUAUCACUUUAAACAUAUCUAUUAUUUUAAACAGGAGGCAAAUAUAUCCAGGAGAUAUAUUUCCUCAUUCUUAGAGGAAAUGUUGAGGUUAUAGCCCAUUUAUUAGGCAGUCCAGAAGCCCUUGAAAAGUAUUUAUAUCAUUUGAGGAAAAUACAGAGAGAACAAGUGUCCAGUAUUUUUAUGCUGCUUAGCUAGGACCACACCUUCUCUUCAGGCCUGCCCAUCUAAGUUUGUAUUCAAUGCUGUGAUUUACUUUAUCAAGCCCUCAUCAUCAUCAGUAUGUUUUGUCUUCUGUCUUAUUCCCUUGUUCUAGUCAGUAACUGAUAAAUUUAUUCACACUAAUGUACUAAUGACUAAUGUUAGCUUAAUAUUAAUUUGCCAAAGGAUAUCUGAAUUCUAGGCCUUAGGGAUGAACUUUAACUCAAAGUGUAAAUCUCUCACUUUUAAUGGAGGGAUUAAAGACACUGAAGCAGACUGGAAAGGAAGAUAUUUUGAAGAAAGUGAGUCUUACAGCAGUGCCUUUCAGGUUACAUAUAGAACUUAUUCUGUUAACCUGUAAUUCCAUGAAAAGGAGCCAUCUGCUCUAGGAACAACAGAUCAAAUUACCUUGGUCUGAAACUAUGCAUAAGUGGAACUCCUGUGCAACGUAAUUUUUCUGUCAUCUUUUUGUUUUUACUCCCAAAAGACUGUGAAAAUGUUGCACUUGGAAUAUAUUUAUGUCUAUAAUUUAUAAUAUGUAUUUUAGUAAUAAAGAUGGUCUCUCUAUUUGCAUAGAAAAUUUCUGCCUCCAGAAUUCAAUGUCACUUUUUCAGGAAACUGAUGUAAUUGAUGAUCUUUGUCAGUGUUCUCACAUACAUGGAUGUUAAGUCCCCAGAGGCUUUACUCUCCCUUUCUCUCUGGAGUGGUGCGUUCUAUUUUCAAAUGGAAAGAUGAACCACUUCCCCAUCCUACCCUACACCUGCCAUCCACUCUUCCCAUACUGUUCACACCCUACUAAGAUUAUUCCCCAUCCUCACUUGUUGACCAAGUUUACCCAAAUGACUUAAAUACUUGUACUUUUUAAAGUAUAGUCUUUGGGCAGAAAAGGAGAUGAGGGAACAGAAAGAAUAUUUUCUCUUUAAUCUUAAGGGUUUUUAAGACCCAAUAGUUUGAUUUUUCUUAUAGAUUAGCAGGGAAAAAGUCUUAUCCUUCACUGUCCCCCUCUGCUCUUCUCAAAACAGAUCUACAUAAACAAAACAAAACAAAUAGUAAAGUCAGGAGAAUUGUCUCUGGCUCUCCUCUCAUCCUAGUUAUCUUUCUUCCACUUUAGCAACUCCCUUCUCAUCUCACCUAUAUUCCUAAUGCUUUCAGUAUCUUCUGCAAUAACCAAGUUUUUAUGAAUUACACAUUUUGACUGCUACAGAAAAAUGUUCCUAGGAAGUGGUAAAGGCUUUCCUAAGGAGAAAUUUCUGAUGUUUUGGUAGACUUGAAAAAAAUAAUGGGAUAUAAAUAUGGGAUUUGACCCACACAUCAAAUGUCCUCAAAUAAUGUACAUCCCUCCUACAUGCCUUCUUGAAGCCACCUCACAAGUAAUUUUACUGCCUUCACUGUACCUUAUUUUGAGAGGGAAGAAGUGAGAGAUAAACUCUCAGGUAAAUGUGGCUCUUUCAACUUAUUUACUCCUCAAUAAUUAAAGGAUGUGAUGAGUGUUUGAGAGGCAGGCAGUGAGCUGUAUCUUUUUUGAACUUCACAGAUAAUUUCUUCAGCAGAACUUCCUCAGACUUAAACACUUACUUGAUUUUUCCAAGACCUUAUUUCUUCUUCUAUUUUCUGUUGACUAAGUUCUCUUCAUCUAACUACUUACUGAACAUCUGCUUAUUCAUCUAUAGGCAUAGUCCUUAUUUAAGGCCUUACAUUUUCCUUCUUGGAUCUCUUCAAGGAAUAAUAGAGUAACUGUUCAUUGGUGGGAAGUGGGCUGUAAUUAGGCCUAUCAAUCUGACCCCAAUAUCUUCCUUUUUACAGGAGCUUCAGAAGCAGAGCUGAGAGGCAGAUCUAGGAUCUUUGUUCUUCAAGUUUGAUUCUGUCCCACAAUAGAAAGAUGUUUUUCAGCCUUUCCUAAAUAAUGUUGAAUAUUCACAACUUGAACAAAGACCAGGAUCAUUUAUACUUUUUAAAAUGCCAAUCUAA